UCUUUUAGGAAUAUUGAAACAACAUUAUUAAUUGUGGUAAACCUUAUCUGGCAGUACUUAAGAGUGCAUCUUUGACUUUAUUACUCGAGUGAAUGCACCUUCAAACCGGUUUAACACCAACAUGUCACAGUAAUCAAUACCAUCUGUGUUAAGAUGUCGGGAAUGUGUUAGACGAAUGAUUUUGUUUUAUGGAGCUUUGAAGAGCGAUGAAUGGCACUAAAGUGGUGCCAAAUGGAUAUCUCAAACACCCAUUGUUGAUGUGUGAUGCUGAUAAUACAGAGACAGCUAGAGUGACAGAGUUUGAUGAAUAAACUUAAAUUAAAAAACAGAAAUAACCACCAUCUCUCUCAGAGGUCAUCUUUCUCAUUAUUGUGGGAAACCUCAAAGGGCAUCAGGAAAACCUUCAUCAACCUCUUUGUGCCCAGUGGCUUGUGCAACAGUGUUUCAGAAAUUAUCAUUAAAAUGGGGAUAAUGGAUGACUGGCCACACAUAUGGGGCUAUGGACAAGCUUCAGAGCAGGCUGCCAGGUGGUGGUGUUAGUAGUUUAUACUCCGGGUCCCGGCGUGAGCACAUUGAAGGGUCCCAGAGUGACGGUUCAACCACCCACACCUAUCCUGGGCAGAACCAGUACUAGGUGCCUUCACCUCUGCAAGGAACUGACAGCUUCUGUACAUGCCAGGUGCAGUGGUACAGUGCGAAUGGUCGUAGAAAGGAUUUCAUAACCAAUCACAACAGAGGUCACCUGGUCCGCCCGGGAAUCGAACCCGGGAUGUCCAAUUCAGAGUCCAACGCUCUACCGAUUGAGCUGACCGGGCGGACAUAUUAGCUACAUUAGAUGACAAGCCAUCUAUGCUGGACAUUCUUCACAAUAAAAUGUGAUGUCACAGGAGCUGUCUAUCUCAACAGCUCACACUGUCCGUAUUUGACUAAAGGAAUGAAUGAAGUCACUGCAGAAGUUAGAUUGAGGAAUGUCCAUGUCACUACCCAUCAUUUGGAAGGAGUUGGAUAAAAAAAGUGUGGCCUAUGUAUUGAAACAGGUCCGAUUUCCAGUUACGGACAGUCUUGAUUUGUCUGAUUACAUUUUUGACCAACAUGAUGGUCUAAAAGAACACUUACUGGUAACUGGUAAAAUCAUGGCCCAGUUGUUCCAAGAGGCAGGCGAGUGGGAAGUUACUAGACUCCAUUUCUUUAUGGGUUGAUCUGAGGUUCCAGUUCAGUUAAAGUACUGAUAGAACACCAAGUGUUUGCCAUAAUACAGCAACAUUUCAUUUGUAACUAUGUAUUUGUUUGAAUUGUUGAAACAGUACUGUUUACUUAAUAAUGUGUAUGUAUAUGAAGAAUAAUAUUAUAAAUAAUUUGUAAGAACCUUUUGAUAUUAAGUAAAAUGUCGAUAAGUCUAAAUAUGUAUCUGCGAAUCAUUUUUGUAUAUCUGUAAAGAUUACAUUGCCUAUAUUCCUCAAUUUAUAUUUUUCUUUUAGCCAGUCAAUAACUUUGUUAAGUUCUAUCUUCAAAAUUGUCGGGACAGGGAUUAUAGCCCUUAAUUAACCCAAAUAUGUAACAUUCAAUGCAAAAUUGGCUGCAAUUAGGCAGUUCAGAUGCAGGAACAAACAUCACUUGGGUCCUUAAUAAUAGCUUUCCAUCUGACAUUGAAGAUCCAAUAAAAGGAAUUUGUCUUGUGACUGUUUAUUAACUCUCAAUUUAUUGAAAGUGAAAUUACUUACAUGAUUUGUAAGAACUAAAUUAUAAUGAUAUCAAAUGAUUGUUUAAAUUAAAUAAAAUAGAUGAUUACAUACAUGAACUAUUUUUAUUUCUUGUUUGUCAAUAUGAAGAGUAAUGCAAUGGCUUUUGAAUUUCAUAAAAAAGGAUGGAAAAAUGUAUGUUUAUUGUUUAAGCAAUUAAUUAAGUAAUAAAAGUUGUUUUUUUUCUUUUUUUCAAAUUGUGCUAUCUUAUAAUACAGAUCGUUAUUUGUUUAAUUUUGGUACAAAUGAAGUAUAUAAGGUAUGUCUAAUGUUACAAAUAGCAAAAAUUCAAAUGCAAAUCAUGGUGACUUGACUAAAUGUGAAUGCUAAUUGAAUCAAAAUAGUUAAUAAAUAAUAAUGUUCA